rnacentral:rRNA from 1 species
CUCCGGUUGAUCCUGCCGGACCUGACUGCUAUCGGAUUGGUACUAAGCCAUGCGAGUCAUUGUAGCAAUACAAGGCGGACGGCUCAGUAACACGUAGUCAACCUAACUCGUGGACGUGGAUAACCUCGGGAAACUGAGAAUAAACCACGAUAGACCAUAGUGCCUGGAAUGGCUUAUGGUCCAAACAGUUUACUGCCAUGGGAUGGGACUGCGGCCUAUCAGCUUGUUGGUGAGGUAAUGGCCCACCAAGGCGAUUACAGGUACGGGCUCUGAGAGGAGGAGCCCGGAGAUGGGUACUGAGACACGGACCCAGGCCCUAUGGGGCGCAGCAGGCGAGAAACCUUAGCAAUGUGCGAAAGCACGACUGGGUCAGUCCGAGUGAUUCCUGAUAAAGGAGUCUUUUGCUUGUCCUAAAAGCACAGGUGAAUAAGGGGUGGGCAAGUCUGGUGUCAGCCGCCGCGGUAAUACCAGCACCUCGAGUGGUCAGGGCGUUUAUUGGGCCUAAAGCAUCCGUAGCCGGCUUUGCAAGUCUUCGGUUAAAUCCACCUGCUCAACAGAUGGGCUGCUGGAGAUACUACAAAGCUAGGGAGUGGGAGAGGCAGACGGUAUUCAGUGGGUAGGGGUAAAAUCCUCUGAUCCAUUGAGGACCACCAGUGGCGAAGGCGGUCUGCCAGAACACGUUCGACGGUGAGGGAUGAAAGCUGGGGGAGCAAACCGGAUUAGAUACCCGGGUAGUCCCAGCUGUAAACGAUGCAAACUCGGUGAUGCAUUGGCUUAUUGCCAAUGCAGUGCCGCAGGGAAGCCGUUAAGUUUGCCGCCUGGGAAGUACGGACGCAAGUCUGAAACUUAAAGGAAUUGGCGGGGGAGCA